UACAAUCAAAUAGAAAUGGUACACACGUUUACGAAAUUAAAUUCGUAUAAAUAUUGGCAGCUUAUUUGCGAUCAAUUUAAUCAAAAUUUUUCUGUGCUACAACGUUAAGCGAAACAAUUUUGUAUUAAAAUGAAAUUCGCUAUUUUUGUAAACGUUGUUUUGCUAAUGGUUUUUGUUGACAAAAACAACUGUGUUCAAUGUGAAGCCACAAAAUGCACACCUGACUGCCGUACCGUCUUAUGUCCGUUAAUUAAAUGUGCACCAGGCUACAUAAGCGUUACUCCGAAAGGUCAAUGCUGUAAGACAUGCCAGCGUGAUUGCAGCGCUAUCAAGUGCCCGCUAAUAAGAUGUGCACCAGGCUACUUAUCAGUAAUUCCAGAAGGCGAAUGCUGUAAUACAUGUCGGCUUGAUUGUAGUCUUGUCGACUGUCGACCGAUAAAAUGUGCCGCCGGUUACGUGUCUGUCGUACCAGAGGGUCAAUGCUGUUCUCAGUGUCAAUUAGAUUGUGCAGCUGCCCAAUGUUUAGCUUGUGUUGGAAACCAAGUUGCAGUAACUGUGCCUGACUCAUGCUGUCCUUCGUGUCAGCCAAUUCUUGCAACACAAUAGACCUUUCACAUUUUUCUAGUCUAGCUGUUGUUGUGAUUUGAAAUGAAUUGUGAGCUCUGUCAAAGAAUGUUUUUGAAUAAAUGAAAUGCCAUUUUACC